UUUGCAAACCUACAAGCCUCCCUCAUACCAUGUAAAGUUAUAGGAGAGCCCCCAUCAUCAGAUAAAUAUACGUGAAGUUUGUCCGCUGGAUAAUCCAGUGCCAUUGCUGAUAACACAGUAUUCAUCACACCAAUAGUAGGUUCCUUUUCUGGAUCUGCGGUGCAUAUAAACACAUCAAUUGGCGGAAGUUUGUCAUCUUCCAACAAUCUUUCCGGGAAUACAGUUCGAGAAACUGGAUGCCAAAGAUAAGCACGGCCUAGGAGCCACCAUUUUGCAAACCUACAAGCCUCCCUCAUACCAUGUAAAGUUAUAGGAGAGCCCCCAUCAUCAGAUAAAUAUACGUGAAGUUUGUCCGCUGGAUAAUCCAGUGCCAUUGCUGAUAACACAGUAUUCAUCACACCAAUAGUAGGUUCCUUUUCUGGAUCUGCGGUGCAUAUAAACACAUCAAUUGGCGGAAGUUUGUCAUCUUCCAACAAUCUUUCCGGGAAUACAGUUCGAGAAACUGGAUGCCAAAGAUAAGCACGGCCUAGGAGCCAUAUAAAGGAAAG
rnacentral:lncRNA from 1 species